AAAGGUAAGCUACUAAGAGCGAAUGGUGGAUGCCUUGACUGGUAAAGGCGAUGAAGGACGUACUAGACUGCGAUAAGCUACGGGGAGCUGUCAAGAAGCUUUGAUCCGUAGAUUUCCGAAUGGGGCAACCCAAUGUAUAGAGAUAUACAUUACCUAUAUAGGAGCGAACGAGGGGAAUUGAAACAUCUUAGUACCCUCAGGAAAAGAAAUCAAUAGAGAUUGCGUCAGUAGCGGCGAGCGAAAGCGCAAGAGGGCAAACCCAGUGCUUGCACUGGGGGUUGUAGGACUGCAAUGUGCAAGAGGUGAGUUUAGCAGAACAUUCUGGAAAGUAUAGCCAUAGAGGGUGAUAGUCCCGUAUGCGAAAAACAAACCUUAGCUAGCAGUAUCCUGAGUAGGGCGGGACACGAGGAAUCCUGUCUGAAUCCGGGUCGACCACGAUCCAACCCUAAAUACUAAUACCAGAUCGAUAGUGCACAAGUACCGUGAGGGAAAGGUGAAAAGAACUGAGGUGAUCAGAGUGAAAUAGAACCUGAAACCAUUUGCUUACAAUCAUUCAGAGCCCUAUGUAGCAAUACAGGGUGAUGGACUGCCUUUUGCAUAAUGAGCCUGCGAGUUGUGGUGUCUGGCAAGGUUAAGCAAACGCGAAGCCGUAGCGAAAGCGAGUCUGAAUAGGGCGCUUAGUCAGAUGCUGCAGACCCGAAACGAAGUGAUCUAUCCAUGAGCAAGUUGAAGCUAGUGUAAGAACUAGUGGAGGACUGAACCCAUAGGCGU
rnacentral:rRNA from 1 species